GGAUGUGAGGGCGAUUUGGCUGCGACAUCUGUCACCCCAUUGAUCGCCAGGGUUGAUUCGGCUGAUCUGGCUGGCUAGGCGGGUGUCCUCUUCCUCCCUCACCGCUCCAUGUGCGUCCCUCCCGAAGCUGCGCGCUCGGUCGAAGAGGACGACCAUUCCCGCUAGAGGAGGACCAGUCUUCGGUCAAGGGUAUACGAGUAGCAGCGCUCCCCUGCUAGAACCUCGGAACAAGCUCUCAAAUACGAAGUAAUAAGUCUGCCGCAGUCAGAGUCAUACGGACAUAAACAGGAUCAUUUACAAUAUGCAUAUGUAAACUGUAAUAAUAU
rnacentral:snRNA from 1 species